CCUACGGGGGGCAGCAGUGAGGAAUAUUGGUCAAUGGCCGUAAGGCUGAACCAGCCAAGCCGCGUGAAGGAAGAAGGAUCUAUGGUUUGUAAACUUCUUUUAUAGGGGAAUAAAGGUAUCCACGUGUGGCUAUUUGCAUGUACCCUAUGAAUAAGCAUCGGCUAACUCCGUGCCAGCAGCCGCGGUAAUACGGGGGAUGCGAGCGUUAUCCGGAUUUAUUGGGUUUAAAGGGUGCGUAGGUUGUUUUUUAAGUCAGCGGUGAAAGUUUGUGGCUCAACCAUAAAAUUGCCGUUGAAACUGGAAGACUUGAGUGUGUUUGAGGUAGGCGGAAUGCGUGGUGUAGCGGUGAAAUGCAUAGAUAUCACGCAGAACUCCGAUUGCGAAGGCAGCUUACUAAGCCAUAACUGACACUGAGGCACGAAAGCGUGGGGAUCAAACAGGAUUAGAUACCCUAGUAGUC
rnacentral:rRNA from 1 species